GAGACCAAAUUAAAACACUUCUACAUGAUAAAGCAUCAUAUGACAUAAUUCUCUAAGAUAGAAGGCAAUAAGGAAAUAGGUGAAAUUUUACAUUCACAGUGGGGAAAAAUACGUAAGUAACAAAAAAAAGAGAACAUGAAAAGAAUUUACACACAUUAUGACUUCAUGAAAACAGGCAGAGAUUAUUACUAGAGGACUACACAGAACAAAAAAGUACGUCUGCAUAUUCAUAAAGCUGAGACUGAGUUCCUACAAUGCUUCCUGCCUUUUUGAAGACUGUACAAAGGGGACUGAGAUUAUUCUGCUAAAAAAAGGUAUGAUCUUCAUUUCAGACAAGAUAUCAAAGUAUAAAUUUAAGUCCUACUCAAAGUUAAUAGAUGAAACGAGGUCUAUGUCCAAUAGAUCAACCAACCACUUAUCUGAAAGUGAAGGCUGUGCAGACACCUAUGCAUAAUAAAAGGAAAGUGACCUA